rnacentral:lncRNA from 1 species
GCCAACAGGAAGCAUUACACAGUAGAAGGAUUUUCCCCCUCAGGGGAAUUUAUUGCUCUGUACUGUGAGAAGAACCAGAUUUCGUUUGGGAGGGGAAAAAGUCAUGGGUGUGGAUAAUGUGCACAACCAAUGCUGCUUAAGCUUCUUUUAAUUAAUUCAGACCGGAUAUCCCUACAAUUAGACAAAUGUAUGAAGAGAUAAAGCGCGUUCACCGUUCAUAUUACCAUCUGUAUGGAUGAAGUCAGUAAAUGCAUGUGAUAUGUGUGAAUAUGUUACUUCCUGUAAAUUACUCCCAAUAACCAAGUUUUAAAGUUUUGUGCAAUGUAUUGGCAUGGAGACACGGAACUUAAGUCUCUCCUAUCCCCUAUUUAUGUCCAAACCCAGCCGCUCCCUGCUUGCUUAUUCCCUGUGCUCUUCACUCUCCCCUGUUCCUACUGGAAGUCAGAGAUUCCCCCUCCCUUUCUGUCGCUGACCCACUUAAACUGUAAUGAGCCUUCACUCUCUGCCUCUACUUCCUUACCUUGUAGUUUUUCUAGCCCUGUGCAAGCUGACUUCCUUUUACAUCACUCUACUGAAAUGGUUCUUUUUAAAGGGCACAACCAACCUCCCAGCCUGUGUACACUGGCACUAGGAUCUGACAGUGAAAAGAAUGGCUCUGUGUAUGCCCUCCUGGUGCUUAUUUUAGCAAGGAGUUACAUGUGGGCUCAGCACAAACAGCAGAUCAACUUGGCCUUGGAUCUCUGGGAAGAAAAGCUUAUCUUCAAAGAAGUGCUGGUACUGGCGUCAGAAAGGGAGACAUUCAUCCCUGUCUUUAAAGAGCGCGUUCUCUGCUUUGGGAAGAUGUUUGAAGCUGAUGUACAGUGCAUGUUUGGUGGGCCAUAAGUCAGGAUGCUCUGGGAAAAACAAGUUUUAGGCCGAAUCAAGGUUAAACCAGAAUGGCUUCCCCAUAUACCUCAAUAUGUGAAAACUUAUUAUUUUCAUCACCACCAUCAUCCAUUUUAAAAAUACUUAAGAUUUGUACCAAUGAGAAUUUUACAUUGAUCCUUUCUUUUUCUCCUUGAAAACAUAUUUUCAUUACACUUCCACCACAGAAUUUUAUCCUAAUGCAAUAUGUUUUAUGCUUCCAAGUCUUUUAUUGAUCAGACUGUGUCAUCAUGCUUCUAAGAGUUAAAAUUUCUUCUAGGUUGAGCAGCUGUUGUUAGCAAUAUACAGUUUAAUCAAUGCAUAUCAUGACAUCUGAUAAUUGUAAAGAAAAGUAAAGUUUUAUUGGAAAUGCC